AAAUUGAAGAGUUUGAUCAUGGCUCAGAUUGAACGCUGGCGGCAGGCCUAACACAUGCAAGUCGAACGGUAACAGGAAACAGCUUGCUGUUUCGCUGACGAGUGGCGGACGGGUGAGUAAUGUCUGGGAAACUGCCCGAUGGAGGGGGAUAACUACUGGAAACGGUAGCUAAUACCGCAUAACGUCGCAAGACCAAAGAGGGGGACCUUCGGGCCUCUUGCCAUCGGAUGUGCCCAGAUGGGAUUAGCUAGUAGGUGGGGUAACGGCUCACCUAGGCGACGAUCCCUAGCUGGUCUGAGAGGAUGACCAGCCACACUGGAACUGAGACACGGUCCAGACUCCUACGGGAGGCAGCAGUGGGGA
rnacentral:rRNA from 1 species